AUUGAACGCUGGCGGCAGGCCUAACGCAUGCAAGUCGAACGGCAACACAGUUAGAGCUUGCUCUUACGGGUGGAGAGUGGCGGAAGGGUGAGGAAUACAUCGGAAUCUACUUUUUAGUGGAGGGUAACGUAGGCUAAUUUACGAUGUUACCGCAUACGAACUACGGGUGAACGCACAGCAUUUUCGGACCUUGCGCCUUUGAAUGGGCCGAUGUCGGAUUAGCUAGUUGGUGGGGUAAAGGCCUACCAAGGCGACGAUCCGUAGCUGGUCUGAGAGGAUGAUCAGCCACACUGGAACUGAGACACGGUCCAGACUCCUACGGGAGGCAGCAGUGGGGAAUAUUGGACAAAGGGCGCAAGCCUGAUCCAGCAAUGCCGCGUGGGGGAAGAAGGCCUUCGGGUUGUAAAGCCCUUUUGUUGGGAAAGAAAAGGAGUAGGUUAAUACCGCGCGGUUCUGACGGUACCUGAAGAAUAAGCACCGGCUAACUUCGUG
rnacentral:rRNA from 1 species